GAAAUGCGAUAAGUAAUGUGAAUUGCAGAAUUCAGUGAAUCAUUGAAUCUUUGAACGCACCUUGCGCUCCUUGGUAUUCCUUGGAGCAUGCCUGUUUGAGUAUCAUGAAAUCUUCAAAGUAAAUCUUUUGUUAACUCAAUUGGUUUCUACUUUGGUAUUGGAGGUCUUUGCAGCUUCACACCUGCUCCUCUUUGUUCAUUAGCUGGAUCUCAGUGUUAUGCUUGGUUCCACUCGGCGUGAUAAGUUAUCUAUCGCUGAGGACACUGUAAAAGGUGGUCAAGGUAAAUGCAGAUGAACCGCUUCUAAUAGUCCAUUGACUUGGACAAUACUUUUAUGAUCUGAUCUCAAAUCAGGUAGGACUACCCGCUGAACUUAAGC
rnacentral:misc_RNA from 1 species